GAUGAAUGCUGGCGGCGUGCCUAAUACAUGCAAGUCGAGCGAACAGACGAGGAGCUUGCUCCUUUGACGUUAGCGGCGGACGGGUGAGUAACACGUGGGUAACCUACCUAUAAGACUGGGAUAACUUCGGGAAACCGGAGCUAAUACCGGAUAAUAUUUCGAACCGCAUGGUUCGAUAGUGAAAGAUGGCUUUGCUAUCACUUAUAGAUGGACCUGCGCCGUAUUAGCUAGUUGGUAAGGUAACGGCUUACCAAGGCAACGAUACGUAGCCGACCUGAGAGGGUGAUCGGCCACACUGGAACUGAGACACGGUCCAGACUCCUACGGGAGGCAGCAGUAGGGAAUCUUCCGCAAUGGGCGAAAGCCUGACGGAGCAACGCCGCGUGAGUGAUGAAGGUCUUCGGAUCGUAAAACUCUGUUAUUAGGGAAGAACAAACGUGUAAGUAACUGUGCACGUCUUGACGGUACCUAAUCAGAAAGCCACGGCUAACUACGUG
rnacentral:rRNA from 1 species